AGCUCAGCCAUAAAAAAUGAUGAAAUUCUGCCAUUUGUGACAACAUGGAUGGGCCUUGAAGAACUCAUAUGUUUUGAAGCCGUAACCUCCAGUGUGGUUGUGUUUGGAGACGGGGCCAUGAAGGAAGUAACCAAAGUUAAAUGAAAUCAUCAGGAAAUGCCAUGUGAGGCACAAUAAGAAGAUGGCCUUCUGAAAGCCAGGAAGAGAGCCCUCACCAGAAACCAACCCUGCUGGCACCCUGAUCUUGGACUUCCAGCCUUCAGAACAGUGAGAAAUAAAUGUCUGUUGUUUUCACCACCCAAUCUAUGACAUUUUGUUAUGGCAGCCUUAGCUGACUAAUACAUCUGGUAUGAGCCAUAGAUAUAAAAAAAGUACUUCUCAAAGUUAACAGUUAACCUCUAAGGAGAAAAGGUAUAAAAUGGAUGAAAUCAUAGAAAUUAUCCUAAGAUAACUAAAGACAAGUUCUAAGGUGUUUAUAUAAUGUGAGUAGGAGAAAGCGAAAUAUGGUGUCCCCCCCUCAAUGGUGGGGAUACAUUCCAAGACCUCCCAGGGAUGCCUGAAAUGCAGAUAGUGCUGCAUCUAAUAUAUACUUUGUUUUUUCCUAUGCAUACAUACCUUUGAUAAAGUUUAACUUAUAAGUUAGGCACAGUAAGAGAUUAAUGAAAAUAAUAGUAAAAUAGAACAAUUAUAACCUACUUAACAAAGGUAUGUGAGUGUAGUCUCUCUCUCUUUCAAAAUGGCUUAUUGUAUUGUACUCUCCCUUCUUCUUCUAGCAAUGACGUAAGCAUUGUGACAUAGUGUUAGGCUACUAUUGACUUUCUAAAGAUAGGUCAGAAGGAGGAUCAUUAAGUCAUAAUGAUGUCAGUGGUUGCAUGUCAGGAGCAGAUGAUGUCAUGGUUACUUGAAGACAAGCACUAGAAUACCACUAAGGUUGAUUUGAUAAUCCAGAUGGCUACGUGACUAAUGGGCUGGUAGUGUUUACAGUGGAUACGCUGGACAAAGGAAUGAUUUAUGUCCUGAGUGGCACAAAGUGGAACUGCGGGAGAUUUCAUCAGAAUGAUGCCAAUUUAAAACUUAUGAAUCAUUUGUUUCUGGAAUUUUCCAUUUAAUAUUUUUGGACUAUGAUUGACCAAGAGUAAUUGUAACCACAGAAAGCAAAAACAUGGAUAAGGGGACUACUGUGCUUCAAAAUUAAAAGGUGAAUCUGAAUUAGAUUAAAUACUAUUGGAUAUAAGUUGAAAUUUAUUAUGGAUUUUAUCUAUAUUGGGUUCACCUUUCAUUAUCUCUAACUAUAAAUAUCAUCUUCAGUUUUGCACAAAUUGUUUAAAUUUAUUAUAAAAGAGAAAUAAGGUAGGGUUUGUGCUAAGUGUUAUUCACAUGCAUUAUGAAAUUGAAAUCAUUUAAACAGUGUGAAAUGGGUGUCAGAAUAGACUGACAGAGCGAUUACACAAAGUAGGAAAUGGAGGGGAAAAAUGCGUAGAAAAAAUUCAGUAUGUGAUAAAAGUAGUACAUAAACUAGAAUAAGUAAAACUAUUUUUAAAUUGGUGCUAAGGGAAAUGGAUAAUUAUUUCUAGAAGUGAAAAAAAAGAUGCCUUGUUCAUUUAUUGCAACACAUUCUAGAAGAAUUAAAAGACUCACACUACACGUAUCAAUUUCCAUAUACACACUAACAUGCAUGAAAACUUAUAUUCUAUAUAUGGAACCACGAGAGAAUUUAAAAAAAAUGAAUAAAUAAUCUGAACUUGGAUUAGGAAAGACAAGUAGAAUAUCAAAAUCAAGAACGCCAAAAGAAAUGAUUGACAACUUUGACUAAAUAAAGUUUUCUUUAAAAUUAUGAGGGCCAACCCCAGAGGCAUAGUGGUUAAGUUCAGUACACUCUGCUUUGGCAGCCUGGGUACAGUUCCUGGGCAUGGAUGUACCCCACUCAUCACUCAGUGGACAUGCUGUGGUGGUGGCUCACAUACAAAAAGAGGAAGAUUGGCA